rnacentral:rRNA from 2 species
UGGGGAAUAUUGCACAAUGGGCGCAAGCCUGAUGCAGCCAUGCCGCGUGUAUGAAGAAGGCCUUAGGGUUGUAAAGUACUUUCAGCGGGUAGGAAGGUGAUAAGGUUAAUACCCUUAUCAAUUGACGUUACCCGCAGAAGAAGCACCGGCUAACUCCGUGCCAGCAGCCGCGGUAAUACGGAGGGUGCAAGCGUUAAUCGGAAUUACUGGGCGUAAAGCGCACGCAGGCGGUCAAUUAAGUCAGAUGUGAAAGCCCCGAGCUUAACUUGGGAAUUGCAUCUGAAACUGGUUGGCUAGAGUCUUGUAGAGGGGGGUAGAAUUCCAUGUGUAGCGGUGAAAUGCGUAGAGAUGUGGAGGAAUACCGGUGGCGAAGGCGGCCCCCUGGACAAAGACUGACGCUCAGGUGCGAAAGCGUGGGGAGCAAACAGG